CUACGUAGGGGGCGAGCGUUGUCCGGAAUGAUUGGGCGUAAAGGGCGCGUAGGCGGCGCGGUAAGUCUGGAGUGAAAGUCCUGCUUUCAAGGUGGGAAUUGCUUUGGAUACUGCCGCGCUUGAGUGCAGGAGAGGUUAUCGGAAUUCCCGGUGUAGCGGUGAAAUGCGUAGAGAUCGGGAGGAACACCAGUGGCGAAGGCGGGUAGCUGGACUGCAACGGACGCUGAGGCGCGAAGGAGUGGGGAGAAAACAGGAGUAGAUCCCCUGGUAGUCCCCGCUGUAACCGAGGUGCGCUAGACGUAGGAGGACCGAGUCUUCCGGUGUCGCAGCUAACGCGAUAAGCGCACCGCCUGGGGAGUACGGCCGCAAGGUUAAAACUCAAAUGAAUUGACGG
rnacentral:rRNA from 1 species